rnacentral:tRNA from 1 species
ACACGUAGUUCAGUGGUAGAACACUAGCUUCCCAAGCUGGCUAUGCGGGUUCGAUUCCCGUCGUGUG